UACGAAGGGUGCAAGCGUUACUCGGAAUUACUGGGCGUAAAGCGUGCGUAGGUGGUCUGUUAAGUCUGAUGUGAAAGCCCUGGGCUCAACCUGGGAAUUGCAUUGGAUACUGGCAGGCUAGAGUGCGGUAGAGGAUGGCGGAAUUCCCGGUGUAGCAGUGAAAUGCGUAGAGAUCGGGAGGAACAUCUGUGGCGAAGGCGACUUCCUGGCCUGUUCUUGACGCUGAGGCGCGAAAGCUAGGGGAGCAAACGGG
rnacentral:rRNA from 1 species